UACGUAGGGUGCAAGCGUUGUCCGGAAUUAUUGGGCGUAAAGAGCUCGUAGGCGGUUUGUCGCGUCUGCUGUGAAAACCCGAGGCUCAACCUCGGGCCUGCAGUGGGUACGGGCAGACUAGAGUGCGGUAGGGGAGAUUGGAAUUCCUGGUGUAGCGGUGGAAUGCGCAGAUAUCAGGAGGAACACCAAUGGCGAAGGCAGAUCUCUGGGCCGAUACUGACGCUGAGGAGCGAAAGCGUGGGGAGCGAACAGG
rnacentral:rRNA from 1 species